rnacentral:lncRNA from 1 species
ACAAACCAGCAUCUUUUUUUUUUUUUUUUAAAGAUUUAUUUAUUUUAUUUAUGUGAGUACAACUGUAGUUGUCUUCAGGCACACCAGAAGUGGGCAUUGGAUCCCGUUACGGAUGAUUGUGAGCCACCAUGUGGUUGCUGGGAUUUGAACUCAGGACGUUGGGAAGAGCAGUCAAUACUCUUAACCACUGAGCCAUCUCUCCAGUCCUGGCAAAUCAGCAUCUUUUAACAUAAAGGAAUUUUUUUUUUUUUGUCUGUAUAAGAAGAAUAGACUGUUUAGAUUCAGUGCACAGUUCUUUUUUUUUUUUUUUAAGAUCUAUUUAUUAUAAAUAAGUACACCAGAAGAGGGUGUCAGAUCUCAUUACAGGUGGUUAUACUACCAUGUGGCUGCUGGGAUUUGAACUCAGGACCUUCAGAAGAGCAGUCAGUGCUCUUAUCCACUGAGCCAUCUCACCAGCCCAAAGUGCGCUAUUCUUAAGGAGAGCUGUAGGCAAUUUAACAGCAACCAAGCCGAAUCCCUUAUUAUUUUCUGUAUAGUAAGUAUAAUUAGGUAUAAAGGAACAAUAAUUUGCAAAAAUAAUUUUCUUGUUUAUAAGGCAAAACAACCAGAUCACAUUCUUAUCCACUUUCUACCUCUACUUGGGUUUUGGAAAUUCAGUUUGAUUUUAUACUUUAUGUUUUCUUUUGAAAAAAUUUUCCAGACAGUUUCUCUGUGUAGCCCUGGCCAUCUUGGAACUUGAUCUGUAGACCAGGCUAGCCUGUAGGCCAGGCUAGCCUGUAGACCAGGCUAGCCUGUAGGCCAGGCUAGCCUGUAGACCAGGCUAGCCUUGAAUUCAUAGAGAUCUGCUUACCUCUGCCUUCUGAGUGCUGGAAUUAAAGACAUACUCCACCAUACAUCGAUAUACUUUCUUAGGUUUCAAGUAUCAAUAUAAAUGCCCUGAGAAAAGCAUAAGAUUAAAAACAAUCCAUGGGCUAUUUGUGUUACUGCUAUAGAAAGGUUUUUUAAAAAGCUAUCUUUCAUAUUGAAUUUUUGAAUUCUUAAAAAGCCUAGGGGAGGAAUAGAUUUCUACACAGCUUUAAGUCAACUUGAAAAUUUUGAAGUAUUAUUAAUAGAUUGAGAGGAUUGGCUACUUUUUUCAGGUUAAUAUUUCAGGUGGGAUAUUCUUACAAUUGAAGCAAUCUAACAAAGAUAUACAGAGAAAUAAUGAAGAAAAUGUUCAGAGAAAGAAAUCUAGAAUUGAAAUCUGUUCAAGAAGUUUGGAACCAAAAGUAAAGUGCAAGUGUAUAUGUUAGGGAACAGCUGAGGCAAGCUCUGUUUUGCUGUAUUCUACCUAGCUAAUACUUGAAAAAAAUCUAGCAAGUACCACUCUUUGCAUAGAAUAUGGAGUGAUUGGUAUGCUGACUCAUUUUAUAUCAAUUUGACACAAGCUAGAGUCUGAGGAGGAGGGAAUCUAGAUUGAGAAAAAUGUCUCAAAGGUGGAGCUGUAGAGCAUUUUCUUAGGGAUUGAUGGGGAGGGCCCAACCCAUUGUGAAGCCACCCUGGUCUGAUGUUCUUGGUUUCUACAAGAAAGUAGGCUGAGCAAGCAGGUAAGUAACACCCCUCCAUGGCCUCUGCAUCACUUCCUGCCUUCAGGUUCAUGUCCUGUUUGAGUUCCUGUGCCGACUUCCUUCAGUGAUGAACAGUGUUGUGGAAGUGUCCUGAAUAAAUUCUUUUUCAAGUGACUUUGGUUAAGGUGUUGUGUCACAGCAGUAGUAGCCCUCACUAACCCUAAGACAGUUAGGGUUUCAGAUUCAGGGAUCUUCUGGGCUUUGCUGAAAACUAUUUUGCCCAUAGCCUAAUAGCAGGGUAGGUACAUGGUGAAAUACUCCUGUAAGACUCUGGUAAGUCUUAGGUACCUGGAAACCCCAAGUGAGCCACUCGGAGUUGGAAAGUUGGAGAUCGAUGCAAAAGCGAGAGGAGUUUAUUGUUCCAGCAUGCUAGGGCCGUCCUGCACCCAAAGAAAGAGGUGGCGAUGCCAGGGCGGCCCCUUCUUCCAGUUUUUAUACAGUUUCCAGUGGCAGAUUAGAGCAUCAGCAAUGUGAUUGGCAGAACAGUGUGACUUUUAAGCUGAUUGGUCCUUACGGAACGAGGUAGCUAGGGCUUCCCUUAUCUCAUAAUUUCCCUUCUAGGAGAGGAGGGCUUCCUGGUGGAAUUUUCCAAAGGUCUUGAGCUGACCUCUUCACUCCCUUUUGUUAAAAUGACUAAAUAAAACUGUUCAAAUCUUGCACUUGAGUUUUAGGGUUAAAUUUAGAUAUUAGUAUCUAAAAUUAUUAUUUCAUGUGUCUUAAAAACUAAAACGCCAAACUACAGAGAAAAGCCAUGUGUAAUUUAUUAAUGUGAACAAUAGCAGGUUUGUAGAUAUUCUGCUUUCUUCCCAGGAGGUGUUUUUCUGUGAAAAGAAGGCUGAUUACCUAAUCUUACUAAAAAUUUAUAUAUGUAAAUGUACAUGAUUAUAGCCAGAUGUGGUGGUGCACGCUUUUAACCCCGGCAGUUGAGAGGCAGGAAGAUCUCUGACUUCCUGAUCUUAAGUGAGUAUCAGGACAGCCAAAACUACAUAGCAAAACCAAAUGUUGCUAGAGCUGUAAUAUUUUACUUUGCAAUCCAUCCUCUUCCUCAGGUUACUUGCACGGAAUGAACAAUAGAUAUUUUCACUAAUUAGAUGACAGUUACCUUUCUUUGUACAUUGACUUACUUAUUGUGACUGAUUGCAGUAGGAAUAGCUGAUGCUACAACCUAGUUUUUAUUUUUUUUUGAGGCAUGGUCUCAGCUUUACCUUGGCUGUCCUAGAACUCACUGUGUAGACCAUGCUGACCUCAACUCACAAGAGAUCUGCCUGCCUCUGCCUCCUCAGUGCUGGGAUUAAACAUAUGUGCCACUAUAUCUGACUAGGAUCUAGAUUGAAAUCCAAAUAAAAGAUUAAUGUUUAGCCCUUUUUGACUAAUCAUCCUCAGAAUAAACAUUGUCAUUUGCUUAUU